CCAGAUAUUGGCCAAUGAUACCUUGGAGAAGGAUUUGAUCUCCAAAAUAUAUAAAGAACUCACAUGAUUCCACACCAGGAAGACAAAAAAUGCAAUUAAAAAAUGGGCAAAGAACCUGAACAGACACUUCUCCAAGGACAUACAAAAGGCCCAGAGAUAUAUGAAAGGAUGCUUAGCAUCAGUAGCCAUCAGAGAGAUACAAAUUAAAACCACAAUGAGAUACCACUUCACAAAGGACAGAAUGGCCAUCAUAAGCAAAUCAACGAACAACAAGUGCUGGUGAGAUUUUGGAGAAAAGGGAACCCUAGUGCACUGUUGGUGGGAACGCAAACUGGUAUAGCCACUGUGUAAAACAAUAUGGAAUUUCCUCAGGAAACUAAAAAUGGAACUGCCUUUUGUCCUGGCAAUUGUACUGCUGGGAUUAUAUCCUAAGAAUCCUGAAACACUAAUCCAAAAGAACCUAUGCACCCCAAUGUUCAUAGCAGCACAAUUUACAACAGCCAAGAGUUGGAAGCAACCUAGGUGCCCAUCAGUAAAUGAAUGGAUCAAAAAACGAUGGUACAUUUUCACAAUGGAAUACUACACAGCAGAAAGAAAGGAGCUUCUACCCUUUGUGACAGCAUGGGUGGAUCUGGAAAGCAUUAUGGCUAAGUGAAAUAAGCUAAGACAAACACUGUAUGAUCUCACCUAUAAGUGGAACCUAAUCAACAAAACAAACAAGCAAGCAAAAUUAUAACUAGAUAUAUUGAAAUAAAGAACUAACUGACAGUAACUAGAGGGGAGCAGGGAGAGGGAUAACACAGAAAUGAAGUGUAAGGGUUGUCAAGGAACAUGUAUAAAGGACCCAUGGACAAAGACAAAAGAUUUAACUCUGACAUCUCAUCAAUGAAAUAACCAACAGGACCUGCUGCUAUGUUGUGAAGUGCUUUGCAGGACCUGAUAACUAGAGGAUCUUCCUGGAAGCACAGUGGUACAGGACAAGGAGCCAGCCUGGGAGCAGGUGUGAGCAACUCACAUGGGAAUGAAGAGCGAAUUUCAGAGCCAAUAGCCCACCAGUGCCUCCUACAUUCACAUGGUCAUUUGCUUUUGCUUCUUUUGAUCCAUCUUGGCCCUUUUCUUCCUACAGCUUAUCACU